CCGUCCUCAAUCGGUUGGUGGGGACGUGUUGCGACGGUGGGAUGUGGUCUCGUGCAUCGUCGGCUCGGCGAAGAGAAGAGUCGAUCCAGCUACGUGGGAGCGAGCGAGAUGAUGACGACGCUGAGACGAGGACUCCCAGAAGUAUAUUGUCUCUCCUUCUCAUAAGUGACGGCUUGUAACUAGCGACUAACGGUCAAGAUUAGUCGGUGAAAGGUUACAUUGGAUAAUCGAUCGUAAUUGUGCCUAUUUAGCGAGGGGUCCUCGAAGCUGUUCGAGUCUCGACUAGCGGUUUGGCGCCGAGAUAAUUAAUCGUCCUGUCGACUACUGCUUCGAGUGGUCGGCGAAGGAUGCUGCGCAUCUACAGUGGUUUAUCACGAAAAAGAAAUAAGGAACAUAGGAGAGAAAAGAGAGAAGUAGUGGAAGUCUCCUUCCAGGAGAUGAGCAUUCGUAUGGAUUCGCUCUAUGGCACGCUGUAAGAGACUACCUGCUACGAUAACAAACAGUUUACUUCCUCGUAGGACUCGUGCCUAUGCAGAAGCGGGUUACGGAUAUCUUUAAAAGCGGUCUUUUUAUCGCUAAGAGUCAGGUGUGAAUUGAAGCCACUGCUAGUUUCCGAUCAAAGAGAAUGUACCGCCGAGUCAAACCGCAUCCGAAGAAAAGACAGCGAAGAGAUUAAUCAAUCGCUUGUAUCGAUUAAUCGGCUUCGAAUGAAUUUUAAUUAUCCAUUAUGUAAACAAAAGAAAAGGAUAUAUUAUACUUAUAACAAUUUCGAGAACUUUAAA